rnacentral:rRNA from 1 species
AUGGGCUUUGAGUUAUGUAGAUCAAAAAUGAUGAAUGGGAUUGUGGCACUCCACUCGCCGUCAAUGCGGAAGGAUGCCGCCGAAAAGAAUGGAACGCUGCUUCGCUCUGCUGGAUGCGUCGGAUCCCAUAUAAUAAGCUCGCUCUUUACCCGAUCAUUCAAACAUUUUGUGGGCGGCGCGCCUGCUCUAUUGUUGCAUAGCAAUAGAAGCCUGCUCAUGCAGCUUCGGCGGCGCUUUUUCGCCUUCUCUUCGCUCUGGACAGGAGCGCUAAUGGACACGGGGAGGGAGCAGGCGAAGCGUGUCGUUCAUAAUGGAAAGGAAGACACCACUACUUUGCCUCUUUGUUGGACCGCCGGCGCGAACACGGUGGUCGGGGUGGCUGGUGGUUUUGGGAUCCCGUAG